GAUGAACGCUGGCGGCGUGCUUAACACAUGCAAGUCGAACGGAAAGGCCCAAGCUUGCUUUGGUACUCGAGUGGCGAACGGGUGAGUAACACGUGGGUGAUCUGCCCUGCACUUUGGGAUAAGCCUGGGAAACUGGGUCUAAUACCGGAUAGGACGAUGGAUGGGAUGGCAUUGUGGAACGUUUUUUCGUUGUGGGAUGGAGUCGCGGCCUGGCAGCUUGUGGGUGCGGACAUGGCCUACCAAGGCGUCGACGGCUAGCCGGCAUGGGAGGGUGUACGGACGCACUAGGCCCCAGCGGGGGCCCAGAGUCCGAAAGGAGGGAGAAGUGGGGCAUAUUGGACCCAGCGAGGCAGCCUGAAGCAGGGAGGCCGCGUGGGUGAUGACGGCUUUCGGGCUGUACAAUCCUUUCGUGAUGGAUGAAGCGUUUUUGUGACGGUACCUGGAGAAGAAGCACCGGCUAACUACGUG
rnacentral:rRNA from 1 species